GCGCUGUCGUCUUCUGUCAGGGUAGAACCGACGUAUUUUUUUCCCGUUAGGUUAGUUACUGCAUGUGAAAAACUUCACUGACACCCAGGUUUCGGUUUGCUACAGUGGUGAUUAGAGGUCUCUUAGAGACUGGCACACUAGGCAGCCACCUGGUUGGCCUCCCCUUCAUUCAGUCAGCUCUGCCAUUCAGCUUUCUUCCAGCCUCUGCACAUUACCUGUCCUAGUUCUUGUUUUAUUGUACUGCCACUCAACUUUUCUGAAUCUCCCACUUGGCUGUGUCUCUGUACCUGCUAAAUCAACACAGUUCCUGGCAUACAGGUGCAUUUCAGUGCAUGCUGGUGAGACAGCGAAGGGCUUGAAACAGUCCACAAAAGUUGAUGCAGGAGAGCAGUACAAUCCUUUCUGGAGUGGGACUCAGAGAAAGAUCAUGCAUGUUGAAGUCAUUCCAGCAGCAGUCCAGGGGAGUUGGGGCAGGUAAGAUGGGAUAAGUGCACUCCAACCAUCAUUUCUGUUGGUCAUAACUCCAGGAGAGAAAGUUUAGAACAGCUAUUUGAGGACGGUGAAAAGAAAACAGCAGAAGGAAUAUUGGUGAAGAACACAGAAUUUGAAGUACAUCAAACCAGUAGGCUCACUUCCAAGCCAUACAUGUUUGGAUCUGGUUUUAAUGAGGAUACCAAGACCUUUGAGAACUGAAGUAAUAGAGAGGUCAUCACCUGGUUCCUAGACUGGCUUCUGGGUGGUGCACACCUGAAAUGGAGACAAAAAGCAGUUUGAAAACUGAGUGGAUGUUGACAUCACAGCGCACAGAAGAAAUAAUGUCUCGCUAUGUUGCCCAGGCUGGACUUCAA
rnacentral:lncRNA from 1 species